UCCCCUAGUGUCUGCAGUAAUAGGUCAUAUGAUUGUAAUUAAAUCAAUAAUUUUGCUUCAAUAAUGAACUAAUGCACGAAUCCCUGUUUUGCAUUAAUCGGUAAGCAUUCUUGUACUGUGUGUGUAUGGAUGGGGCAGCUUUCGCAUAAGAGGAAGGUGACAGUUCAGGAGUUCAAGGGGAAACCAUUGGUGUCGUUGAGGGAGUUUUUUACUAAAGAAGGCAAGGAGCUCCCUACUUCUAAAGGUGGAGUAUUAUUUCAGUGAUCUGAACUUAGCUACUACUGAUCAUCUUAUGAGGUUCAUAAACAAAGACCCUGAAGGAUUUGUGCCAAUAUCUGUUGUUGCAUCUUUCAAGAAGAUUAAGGCCCUCGUAAGUAGUCAUUCCUAGCUUGCAACUGUAUUGCGGAACUCCUCAAAGCUU